rnacentral:lncRNA from 1 species
UAGGAAGUUCAAGAUUGAGUUGUUGAGAUGUAAUGCACUUUGACAAACUGAUGCUGGUCAAUUGAAACUUUGGGACUGAGGUAUAAAAGGAAGGUUCCAUUACCAUCUUGUUUUCAUCACCGGAAAGGACUUUGAGGUUUGAAAGGUUUGCAAAUGGUGCGAAUGAUAGUGGAAUUUGAAAACGGUUUGCUGAAAUAUCUAACUCACGAAGAGAUGUCAAGUUACUGAAACAAUGAGGAAGCAUCCCCUCAAGUGCAUUCCCACUCACAUCCAACACUUCAAGGUUCCUUAGAUCACACCAUCCUGAAAAAUUUAUAAAUUCAUUGAAGAAAUUUUAAUUAAAUUUGAUCCUAUUAAACAUAAUAGGAGAUAUUAUAUCCCAGAAGGCUCAUAAAGAAGUCAAUUUGACCCAUAAAUUUAUUUACCAUGAUUAGGUAAGGGACCGAUAAGUCCACAAUCAUGUAAAGACAAUGUUUUAAGAGAAGCGAAUACUCCAAUGCUUUGCAAAAUGUUGGUGUUGAGAGUAGAUCCGCCAAAAUAUAAUUCCUCCACAUUACUCGACACAUUUAAUUCUAAAGGAUGAGAAGAGGUAUUAGAUGUUAAUCAAACGUAAGCUGUUUUGGAAAAGAAAAUAAUGACUUUCACUUACCUUGAGUAGCCAGAGUCAUGUUCAGAUAAUUGUAUUGUAGAUGAAAGGCUUUAACUGAUGAGAAAGCCUCCACUAAAUUUUGUAAUGGAAUGCUUCCAUCGGUGAAGCGUGAUAAAGAAACAAAACUUUCAAAUUUCUCAAUCCCUUAUUUUCUGUAAGUGAAAGAAAUAUAUAAAUAUUUAUUUUCAUCAAUAAAAUAAAAUUUUAAUAGAGAAUGUCCAAAUCUUAACAUAACUAUUUAUUCAUUUUAUUAAUUAAACUAAUCCCUUUUUUUUUUCUUCUUUUAGCAUUCUAAGAUAAAAUAUAAUUUCAAAAUAAUUUUUUUCUUGAUUCAUAUCAGAUUUAAAUAUGUUUGAAAUUAAUUUAGCAUUUAAUUCCUUAAUAUUAGUAUUUGGUACUAGUAAUGGAGUUUUUUAACUCUACAAGUGAAGUUAAAAAAUGGCCAGUAACCUAUUUCUUUUAAAUAUUUCUUUUUUUAAUAUUUUAUUAUACCAUAUAAUAUAUUUGUUAUUAUCUCAAUCCUACUUAUGAAGUUUAGAAUUUCAUUAAUAGUACCACCCCGAUUUUUUUUAAAAAACCAGAUUUUUUUUAAAAAAAAAUUUGAUAAAAGAAAAGAGUUUCAUUAAUAGUACUAAAUAUUUUCCCUUAAACUUAAUUUACUUUGUACUCAAUUAUAAAUGUUAAGAAAUAUUUUACAAUCUAAUAAAUAAAUUUUUAAUUAAAUUCUCCAUAUUAAAUCAAAAUUUUAAAGCACUAAAUCAUUGCCCUAAAAUUGUCAAAAUACAUCCUUUUGAAUUUUAAAAUUUAUGAAUUCCGAAACAGACUUUCAGCAUCUCAAAUUCUCUAUUUAAAUUUCACCUACAUAGUUUUUUUUUUUUUUUGGAAAUUCUUCAAAAUCUCAUUUAUUUAAAUCAUGGUUCUAUUAUAAGAAAGAAAAUUUUAAACUAAAAAAAUAUUAUUUUUAUUUAAAUCUAAUGUGCAUCUUUUUCUCUUUACAAAAAUAAAUUUUCAAAAUUCAAGUCUAACUAUUAAUAUUGUUGAAAUUAUUUUAUUAAAUCCAUGUUCAUUACGUCAUCUUUUAGUUACAUUGCUAACAAGUUCUUUUAUUUCAAAAUGUCAACACCAAUAAAUUAUUUUUGAAAAAUAACAAUGUUAAUAAUUGAACUUGGAUUUUGAAAUUUAAAAAAUAGAGGGAUCAAAUUCCCAAAAACAAAAAUACAAGAAUUAAAUUACAAAAAAGUUAAAUCACAUUUUUUUAAACCAAAAAGUUAAUAACAUGUGCAUUUUGAAAUUAAUAAAAAAGUUUGAAAAAAAAGUUUAAGCACCUCAAAAUGUAAGUUUAAAUUUCAUAAAAUUGAAGUUUUUUUUUUAAAUUAUUCAAAAUUGAAAUUUAUUUAUUUUUGGCCAAAAAAUGUCAUUUAUUUAACUCUAAUAUGUAUUUUUAUGUUUUAUACUAUUAAAAAUAUAUGAAAUUAAAAUAUAGUUAUAUUACAUAUUAUAAUAUUUUGCAAUCUAAUAAAUAAAUUUUUAAAUUAAAUUCUCCAUAUUAAAUCAAAAUUUUAAAGCACUAAAUCAUUGCCCUAAAAUUGUCAAAAUACAUCCUUUUGAAUUUUAAAAUUUAUAAAUUCCGAAAGAGACUUUCAGCUUCUCAAAUUCUCUAUUUAAAUUUCACCUACAUAGUUUUUUUUGGCAAUUCUUCAAAAUUUCAUUUAUUUAAAUCAUGGUUCUAUUAUAAAAUAGAAAAUUUUAAACUAAAAAAAAUAUUAUUUUUAUUUAAAUCUAAUGUGCAUAUUUUUCUCUUUACAAAAAUAAAUUUUCAAAAUUCAGGUCUAACUAUUAAUACUAUUGAAAUUAUUUUAUUAAAUCCAUGUUCAUUACGUCAUCUUUUAGUUACAUUGCUACCAAGGUUUUUUUAUUUCAAAAUGUCAACACCAAUAAAUUAAUUUUAAAAAAUAACAAUGUUAACAAUUGAACUUGGAUUUUAAAUUUUAAAAAAUAGAGGGAAAUUGACGAAAAUAGAAAUACAAGAAUUAAAUUACAAAUUCGUAAAGAGUACGUAGACCUAUCACAUUUUUUAAACCAAAAGGUUAAUAACAUGUGCAUUUUGAAAUUUAUAAAAAGUUUGGAAAAAAAAUUUUAAGCACCUCAAAAUGUAUGUUUAAAUUUCAUAAAAUUGAAGUUUUUUUUUAAAUUAUUCAAAAUUGACAUUUAUUUAUUUUUGGCCAAAAAAUGCCAUUUAAUUAACUCUAACGUGUAUUUUUAUGUUUUAUGCCAUUUAUUUUACUCAAUUUCAAAAUUCAAGUCUAAUUAUUAAUACUGUUAAAAUUGUUUUAUUAAAUCCAUUUUCAUUAUGUCAUUUUUUAGUUACAUUGCUACCAAAGUUUUUUUUAUUUUAAAAUGUCACACCAACUAAUUAUUUUUAAAAAAAAUUAACAAUUUUAACUAUUGAACUUGGAUUUUAAUUUUUUUUAAUAUUUUAUUAUACCAUAUAAUAUAUUUGUUAUUAUCUCAAUCCUACUUAUGAAGUUUAGAAUUUCAUUAAUAGUACCACCCCAAUUUUUUAAAAAAAACCAGAUUUUUUUUAAAAAAAAUUUGAUAAAAGAAAAUAAUUUUACCAAAUAUUUUCCCUUAAACUUAAUUUACUUUGUACUCAAUUAUAAAUGUUAAGAAAUAUUUUACAAUCUAAUAAAUAAAUUUUUUAAUUAAAUUCUCCAUAUUAAAUCAAAAUUUUAAAGCACUAAAUCAUUGCCCUAAAAUUGUCAAAAUACAUCCUUUUGAAUUUUAAAAUUUAUAAAUUUCGAAAGAGACUUUCAGCUUCUCAAAUUCUCUAUUUAAAUUUCACCUACAUAGUUUUUUUUGGCAAUUCUUCAAAAUCUCAUUUAUUUAAAUCAUGGUUCUAUUAUAAAAUAGAAAAUUUUAAACUAAAAAAAUAUUAUUUUAAUUUAAAUCUAAUGUGCAUAUUUUUAAGUUAAUAACAUGUGCAUUUUGAAAUUUAUAAAAAGUUUGGAAAAAAAAUUUUAAGCACCUCAAAAUGUAUGUUUAAAUUUCAUAAAAUUGAAGUUUUUUUUUAAAUUAUUCAAAAUUGACAUUUAUUUAUUUUUGGCCAAAAAAUGCCAUUUAAUUAACUCUAACGUGUAUUUUUAUGUUUUAUGCCAUUUAUUUUACUCAAUUUCAAAAUUCAAGUCUAAUUAUUAAUACUGUUAAAAUUGUUUUAUUAAAUCCAUUUUCAUUAUGUCAUUUUUUAGUUACAUUGCUACCAAAGUUUUUUUUAUUUCAAAAUGUCACACCAACUAAUUAUUUUUAAAAAAAAUUAACAAUUUUAACUAUUGAACUUGGAUUUUAAUUUUUUUUUUUAAAAAUAGAGGGACUAAAUUCCUAAAAAUAAAAGUAUAAGAAUUAAAUUACAAAUUUAUAAAGAGUAUGUAGACAUAUGUUAAUAACAUGUGCAUUUUGAAAUUUAUAAAAAGUUUGCGAUGGAAGUUUAAGCACCUCUAAAUGUAUGUUUAAAUUUCAUAAAAUUGAAGAUUUUUUUAAAUUAUUCAAAAUUCAUAUUUAUUUAUUUUUGGCAAAAAAAAAUGUGAUUUAUGUAACUCUAAUAUGUAUUUUUAUGUUUUAUACUAUUAAAAAAAUAUGAAAUUAAAAUAUAGUUAUAUUACAUAUUUUCUCAUAAAUAUAUGUUUUUAUUUAUUUGUAAUAUCAUUGUUUUUAUUGUUAUAAUUAUUUUUUAUCUCAUAAAAAUUAAAUAAAUUAUUUUAAAAAAUAUAUUUUUACAAACAAAAUAAUUAUAAACAUUAAUAUUUUAAAAUUAAGAAAAUUUUAAAGAAUUUUAAUUUCAAACUAAAGUUGAAACACAUUAUAAUGGAGGAUUUAGAAAAUGUUUCACCAAACUCAUAUUUUACUUUCAAGUAUGAUAUGAUAUAACUUUAUUAAUAUUUAUGACAAUAACGGUCAUUAUAAUAUCUGAGAUCAAAACUAAAUUUCUAAAUUUAAAAAAAAAAGGAAGUUUAAUUAAAUGAUACCUUGGUGGAUCACCAAAUCUUUCAAUUCAUUAUAUCCCAUAUAUAGUUCCCUUAAGUUGAUGAAUGCUUCCAAAUCUAGGAAAAAAAAAGCAACAAAUCAACUUCAUUAUAUUCUCUUAAAACAUUAUUAUAUUCUUUGUUAAAAAACUAAUAUUUUUACCUUUCGUAUCUAUUGAUCCUUUCAAUUGAUUGUAAUUUAUGCUCAAAGAUUUCAAAUUUGAAAGCUUGUUAAGGGAUGCAAAUACACUAGUAUUGAAGAGAUUGUAAUCUAAAUAAAGCACUUCCAAGUGGGUCAACUCCAAUUUUCUACCACCAUCUACAAAAGAUUUAUAUAAUUUCAUCACUAAAAUGAAUUGGCAUAAAAUUUAAUUAUAUGUAAGAAUUUAGGUAAUUGGUUAAAUAUAAAUGCAUACCUUUAAAGGAUUGAAAGCUUUCAAUUUGAUUCCAACGUAAAUCGAGUUUCUUCAAAUUUGUUAAAUUGCUCAAUCCUAUACAUAUCCAUGUCCAAUUCAAAAAAUCAUUAUGUUAAUAAUUUUAAUUUCUACUUAAUAUUUUAAUGAAAUAAAAAAAAAGUAUAUCUAAAACUUGAAGUGAAGAUGAAAAACCUCAAACGUGAAAUCUGAAUGCUCAAAUUUGAAACAAUUAAUUUUAAAAUGUUCUAGAAAGAAUUAUCAAGAAAAACAAAGUUAUAGCUUUAGUACCUUUAGUAUCUAAUGAGCCUUGCAGACGGUUGUUGUACAAAGUCAAAGACUUUAGGCUUGAAAGCCCCUGAGGAAAGGAAAUUGUGUUGUUCCGAAAGAGAUUAUUACUUAAAUCAAGUUCCUCUAAGUUUGUUAGCCUCCAUUGUGUUCCAUCUAUCAUUGGAAGAAAAUAAUUAGUAUAGUUAAUAUCAUUCAAUAUAUAAAUAGCUAGGAAAAAUGAUUGUUUGAGAAGGAAGAGCCAAUUUACAAGCUUUCCCAUGAAUUGAUAACUACAUUUUACAAGUAAAACUUAAUUGAUUCAACAUAUAAAUACUUUGUUUGAGAUACCUUCCUACUUAAUUUACUCAAUUUUGAAAUAUUGCAACAUUAACUGUCCCUUAAACAAAAAUUGGUUUUAAAGUAAAAAAGAAACAUAUAAAACCAGUCUACCUUUAAUAUGAAUUGACAUAUAAAUACUGUACUUAUACCUUGGUUUGAGAUGCUUUCAAUGUUGUUGUCACUUAAAUCCAAGUAUUUCAAGUUUGUCAAAUUAUUCAACCCUAAAAUUCAAUCCCAAAUAUUGAUUAGUUAUAUAUUCAUCGUAUGAUGAAAUCAAACUUGAAUAUACAUUGAUUUUUAAAGUUGAAAAGAAACAGGUAAAAUCAGUCUACCUUGAAUAUGAUCCAGCCUUCCUUUCAACUGAUUACGUCUCAAUCUUAAAGUCUUCAAGGAUGAAAGAUUUCUCAUAUGGAACAAAAUGCUAUUCUUCAAAGAAUUCCAACUUAAAUCAAGAGUUUCCAAGUUAUUGAGUCUUGAAAGCAAUUGAAAACCUGAUAUAUAUACAUAAUUACUUGUUAAUUUUUUCUUUCUUUCUUAGCUAUAUGAAAAUUUUACUAAAGCAAAAGUAGAAUUACAACGGAUAAAAAGAAUGGAAAACUAGGUACCAAGCCUAGAAGACCAUCCUCAAACUCCACUAUACAAAUAAAAACUAACACUAGACCAAACUUAAUUUACCUCUUAGAUGACCUGAUCCUUCAAAUUUGUUGCUUGAUAAAUUUAAAUACCGGAGAGAUGAAAGCUCACUUAAAGAUAACAAAAUGCUGUCAUUCAAGUAGUUUUCACUUAAGUCAAGGAUCUCCAAAUUACUCAAUGUGGAUGAUAGUUUUCCAAAGCCUGUAGAAGUGUUCUUUUAAAUAUAUACAAGCAGUUAGUAACUUUUCUUCAAUAAAAUAUAAGUAAUUGUAAAUUAUCAAUGGUGAGAAUAGUGGAAUAGUAAAAGAUGUAAUUAAGGAAAAAUUAAAGGCACGACCUUCAUUUUCAAGGUUACCACCCAUGGCAUUUCCCGACAAAUAAAGUCUCUUCAAUUCCUCAAAGGGAAGAAACAUAGAGGCAUUGAGAUACCAGGCAUUGAGAUUCCUAUUAUCCAUGUCGUAUUCCAUAUUGUAUAACCAUAUUGUAGAAUUAAGGGAGAGUUGUAUGAGUCUCCUAGUGGUGGUGUUACACUCAACUCUUUCCCAUUUACAACAAUCUGAACCCUUCACCUCAACCCAACUUUGCAAUUGAUUACCAUAAUUGAAGAAAGGCUUGAGAUGCAAGAGAGCGAUUCUCUCAUGCUCCAAACAAGCAUCAGUAGUACACCAACUGCAUCUUUCUAACACCAACAACAUUACUGCCAUCCUAAUAAACCAUAAGUACCAUUUCCACUCCAUCAUCAUCAUCAUCUUUCUGUUUUCACUUCUCUCUCAGCUAUAUGUUACUUUUUUUUAACUUCUAUAUGUAUAUAAUCUAAAGAAGCCUAAGCUUCUUAUUUAUAUACAAGCAGAACAUACUGCAUCCCACUAAUUCACUAUAAUAUAAAAAUAAUAUAUAAUUAAUUAAUUCCUCAAAAAUUGGAUCAAUCUAGGCUUCUUAUUUACAUAAAUUCCUUAUUGCAAAAACUCUAGGUGGAAAUUCAUUAGGAAAUGAUGAAAGGACUGCAAGAAUGCUUAUCAACCCUUGACUUUGGCAUUCAAUGCUAAAUUUAUUUUAAAAUUUCUUCAUGGAGACAAGAUGGGAUGACAAGAAUGAUAAGUUUUAAGUCAUUUAAGUUUAUCACUCAUAAAAAUAAGUCUUAACAUUCUAUUAAAGAAUUUAAGCAUGGCUCAACGUUGAUUUUAAAUCUAAUGUUGAUGUUAAUCUUGAAAAACGAAUGGCCAAAAAAAUAUGAAAAGUGAGAGGUGGACAUUAAAUCAUGUAGUUGGAGUUAUAAAAUACUUCAUGUGGUUUUCUUGUGAGUUUCAUUUAUACCCUUCUUACACUUAUACAAAGUUAAUCUUGACUUGGCUUUAUUAACGGAAAAUUUAGGUCUUCAUUUUUUGUUUUAUUCAUGGAAAUUUUUAUUCAUGGAAAUUUUACUUCUUUGAUUUUGGUUUUAUUAAUGGAAAUUUUAGGUUUUGAAAGUUUUUUUUUUCCCGGAAGAUUUUGUAAGUUUAAACCAAAUAUGAUUAUAUAAUUUUUACUACUUUCUUUUUAAUAUUUUAAAAACCAAUUAAAUAUUUAAGCAUAUUUUUUUUAGAAAAAUAUUUAAACAUAAAAUAUAUGAAUUUAUUUUAUAAUACAUUUUUACUUUUUUUAAUAUUUAUAUAUAUAGAAGGAUGAAAUUGUAAUUUUAUAUAGUAGAGUGGGAUGGGAUGGAACAAGGAAUUACCGUAACGGCUCCAUAGUCAUUGUCCAAUGGAAAAAAAAAUCCACCCAUCCCACCUUGCUUCCACUUUUCUAAAAAAAAAUCCACUCCAUUCUAAGUAGAUCGUUUCAAAAUUCAUCGGACAGUUCAGGAUUUGCUACCUCUACAUAAACCUCUCCAAACCUUUAAAUUCAUUUAAUUCGAAAUUUGAAAAAGACAUCGAUUUUUUUUAUAUGACUUAAAAUUUUACUUGAAUAUUUUUACAAUUAAUUAAUUAAAUUGGGUUAUUUUAAAAAGCCGCUCUUAACUAAUAGUCGAAAAAAAUUAAAGUUUCCAAUGUAAAAAAAAUUAGUUUUAUGGAAAAAUAAAGUCUUGAAAUAUUACUUUAGGUUUGGAAAUGUUGAACUUGAUAUUAACAUCUGAAAAUUGAUAGCGAAUCGACUUAUAUGUACAAAACUUAUAUUAACUAGAUUUUUAGUGAGUAAUAUGUAAAAAUAACAAGUGGGCAUAACAUUAGACAUAUGAUAAUAUGUUUGUCACACCAAAUCUUGGAGAUAGUAGAACUUAAUGAAUUUACAAAAUAUCAUUUAGUGAGGAUUGAAAUUUUAAAAUUUCAAAAAGCAUAAGAUCUAAAAUAUCAAAUUAAAGUCUAGGAAUUAAAUCUACAACUUCAAUAAAGUACAAAAACUAUAUGGUAGAAUUUAACCUUUAUAUAAUAAUUUCGUUAUGUGAACCACAACUCAAGUACAUUCCAUAAAUAACAUUAAAAAAUUGGUAUGUGUCUUCUUCUUUUUUUAAUAUUCAUUUUUUAACAUUAUAUACUACACCUCUACAAGACAUGUCUCACUCAUCUGAUCCUUCUUAUAGAGUUUAAAAACUCCACCUACUGUGUACUAAAUAUUAAUUAGUCCAAUUACUAUACUAUUCAUGAUUUAAGGAUAAAGAUAAAAUAUAAUAUUUGCUUAAAAAUCUCAAUUAUAUACAUUUGGUGACCCAUUAUGUUGUAAUAUAGCACCAUCUACGAAGUAGUUCGAGGAAAUUGUUAAGAAAAUAUUAUUACAUAUAUCAACAAUCACAUAAUUCAUUGCAUUAACUUUCAAAUGUUGACUAUUGACUUCUGCGUCAACCUUGAUCUUAUAUAGGCCCCCUAAUAAUUUAGGUUGUGUAAAUAAUCUCACAUUUAAUGCCUGAGAAAUUAUUAUAGAUGAAAUUAUAGUUUUAAUCCCUAUAUUUACUCACAUAAAUAAUGUUCCUCGAUCAAAUUAAGUGCUCUCAAUGAUUAAUACAAGAGCCUAUACAAGUCUCUUAAUUAUAUAAAGAUUUUAAGAUUUGCUAACCUAAUGAAGAUCAUUCACAAUCCCUUCUAAAAGAUAGCUAAAAUAGUUGAAUACAAUAUAAUAAUAACAACUAAGGCAAUAUGAGCUGUUGGCAAAUAAGGUAUUAAUGUUUCGAUCUGAUCCAACUUCCUCAAUCUAAGGGAUUAGAUAGGCUUGAUCCGAUCCUAUUUAACUUGAUCCUUCAAAUAAGUUUCUCCAAGUACUAUGAUAUUCAUUGAUGGACUUGAUAUAACCCACGAUAUCAACUCAACCCAAAGAUAUGGUUCAAUAAAUUGCCAAACUCCUAAAUGUGGGAAGUUGUUUAAUGUGCCUAUGUGCCGCAAUGGUAAAGGAUGUGGGCACUUCCUCACACACAUCGCAACAACUCUAAAUUUUUCAACAGAAAUGAAUAUAAUUUUUAACAGAAUGAUCAAUUAAUUUUUUUUAUCAAACAUACAUGUAACGUCUUAAAAUUUUAAUUUUGGGUAUUGUGAAUGUGUGACACAAAAUAUCUGUUUACUUUAGUGGUUAUGUGCUUUAGGUGUGUUUGGGAGGUCCUAAGUUCUAGCCAGAACUUGGGCAAAAUUUGGUAUUUUUAUGAAUAGACCUAUCUUUGGUCAGUAGGCUUUUAAGUAAAAGUUAGCAAAUAAUUAACAGAAUGGGUCUGCUGAUCUGAUGGAUAAGUGGAGUGUUAGAGUGUUGGAGGUCUUGUGUUCAAAUCUUGGCGUGGACAUUAUUUUUGCUCGUGCGUCCAGGAGAGUUUGAGAUGGACUAAAAAUCUGAGUAGUGGAUUUAGUGGGGAGUUUGAUGGAGAAAAAUAAGGGAUUGGGGUGGUUAUCAAAUAUUUUGUUCAUUUUUUUCUCUCUUUCUUUUUUUUUUACUUUCCCCAAAAUCCGUCCACUCUCUUGCCGUUAUUCUCUUCAUUGCUGCAGAAUUUUUGCUUUCUUUCACCCUUUAUCUUCUUGAUUUUUCUUUUCCCACUCUGCCUCGUGUCACUCCAUGUUUAUUUGCGAUCGUUUUGUAAGUUUUAGAUAAGUGAUUUGUCUCUGUUUGUUAACUUUCUUCUGAAGUGUUUUGUUUAUGCCAAAUAAGGAAGGAUUCAAUGGCUCGUAAUCACCAAUUGGAGUCUUAGUUUUUGUGGGAAUUCUUGUUCAUCAGUUGAAGGUAAGAUUUAGUCGCUUAUGGGUUAAAAUCUUGAUACGAGUUCGAUUUAGGAUCACGUUAUAUGAGAUUAAAUUGAUGUUAUUUUUUUAAUUAUAGGAUUUGGAGUGCUCGGGGACUGUUUUAGCAUCAAACAAAACUAGGUGUGUACCCGUAAUGCAAAAAUAAGGGAUUCGGUAAAAUGCUAAAAUUGCCUACUGUUUGGACAAAAGCAGUAGGCUGAAUUUAAAAAAUCACCAUAAAUUGUGAAAAUCAAAUUUUAUGCAAUAUAACUCCACACAGAAAUGGAUUUCCCUCAUAACUAUUUUCAAUAAAGGUCCCAAAUUGAGCUUUUGGUUCGGGAAUACUACCUGACAAGUUGUUGUAUGCCACGCUGAAAACCUCCAAAGAGUUCAACUCUACCAAUUGAUUGGGGAUUUCACCACUCAAGUUGUUGUAAGAAAGGUCCAAACUCUCAAUUUGAUGAAGUUUUGAGAAUGACGAGGGUAUAACUCCGGUCAACUUAUUGUGUGAAAGGUUUAAAGAAUGGAUUUCACUCAAGUUCCCUAAUUCUGGUGGGAUAUGACCAGUUAAGUUGUUGCAAGAUAAAUCAAUCCCAGUCAUAUAUGAAAGGAUAUCGCCCUUGUACGAAUAGAACCCACUCUUUGUUGUGAAUUCUAUUACUUCUUCUAAGUAGCUUGUAGGAUAGUAGGGAUUUAUAUCCCUUACCAAUUUUCUCAUUGCAAUGGAUGUUGAUUCAUCCCUUUCUAUAAAUGGAAGGUAGAGCUUAGUUGUUAGACUCUCUUUCUCUUUCAAUGGAAGAGAUAAAUUUCCCAAACAAGAAGGUAUAGGACCAGAAAACAUAUUUUGAGAAAGAUCUAUGAUGCUUAAAGAGUGCAACUUGCAUAACUGAACUGGAACUUCACCGUGAAAAUGAUUAUCUUUCAGAAGAAGAACACUCAAAGAAGAAAGUGUGUCAAUCCAUUUUGGAAUAUUACCUGUCAAAUUGUUUCCCCUAAGAUCUAAAGUCACUAGAGAAAAGCUAUUAUAAAAAGCAAGUGAUAGUGGACCUCUAAGUCUAUUUCCGUGGAGGUGGACAUGCUCUAUGUUUGGUGGAUUAAAACAUGACGGUAUAGAUCCAGAUAAAUGAUUUUGGGAAAGAUCCAAAAAGUCCAAGCUAUUCAACUUGCAAAAUUCCAUUGGAAUAAAACCCUCGAAACCAUUGUUGGACAAAACUAAUCUCUCCAAAAACGAUGCAUUCCCUAUCCAUCUUGGGAGCUUUCCAUGCAACUUGAUUAGGUAAGGGACCAAUAAGUCCACAAUCAUAUAAAGGCAGGGUUUUAAGAGAACUGAAUACUCCAAUGCAUUGUAAAAUGUUGGUGUUGAGAGUAGAAUAGUCAAGAUAUAUUUCCUCCACAUUGCUUGACACAUUUAAUUCUAAAGGAUGAGAAGAGGUAUUAGAUGUUAAUCGAACGUAAUCUGUUUUGGAAAAGAAAAUAAUGACUUUCACUUACCUUGAGUAGCCAGAGUCAUGUUCAGAUAACUGCCUUAUAGAUAAAAGGUUUUAACUGAUGAGAAAGCCUCCACUAACUUUUGUAAUGGAAUGCUUCCAUCGGUGAAAACUUGAUCAAGAUCAACAACUUUCAAAUUUCUGUAAGUGGAAGAAAUAAAUAAAUAUUUGUUUUCAUCAAUAAGAUAAAAGUUUAAUAGAGAAUGUACAAAUCUUAACAUAACUAUUCAUUCAUUUUAUUAAUUAAUAAACUAAUCCUUUUUUAGCAUUCUAAGAUAAAAUAAAAUUUCAAAAUAAUUUGAUCUUGAUUCAUAUCAGAUUUAAAUAUAUGAGCAUAUUCUUUUAAAAACUCAAAUAUGUUUGAAAUCAAUUUAGCAUUUAACCUUAAUGUUAGUUUUUGGUACUGGAAAUGAAGUUUUUUAACUCUACAAGUGAAGUUAAAAAAUGGCCAGUAACCUAUUUAUUUUUUAAUAUUUUACUAUACCAUAUAAGAUAUUUGUUAUUAUCUCAAUCCUACUUAUGAAGUUUAGAAUUUCAUUAGCCCUUAAACUAAAUUUACUUUGUACUCAAUUACAAAUGUUAAGAAAUAUUUUACAAUCUAAUAAAUAAAUUUUUUAAUUAAAUUCACCAUAUUAAAUAAAAAUUUUAAAGCACCUAAAAUUGUCAAAUACAUUCUUUUGAAUUUUAGAAUUUAUGAAUUCCGAAACAGACUUUCAGCAUCUCAAAUUCUCUAUUUAAAUUUCACCUACAUAGUUUUUCUAGAAAUUCUUCAAAACUUCAUUUAUUUAAAUCAAUGGUUCUAUUAUAAAAUAGAGAAUUUAAAACUAAAAAGAUAUUAUUUUUAUUUAAAUCUAAUAUGCAUAUUUUUCUCUUUACAAAAAAUAAAUUUUCAAAAUCCAGGUCUACUAUUAAUACUGUUGAAAUUAUUUUAUUAAAUCCAUAUUCAUUUCAUCAUCUUUUAAUUACAUUGUUAUCAAGUUCUUUUAUUUUAAAAAAAUAUCACACUUUUUAGUUGUUUACAGAAUCAUAAUGUUAAUUAGAGUGGAAUAUUUCAGAUUUCUGAUGAUGAGCAUAUUCUUGAGUAUUGCAGUAAAAAAAUGGGUGUGGAACUUAUUUGAACUUUGAAUAUAAACGAACGUGUCAAAAAUUUAAGUACAACGAAUUAUUAACAUGUAAAUGUAUAAUACGGUAUGCAAAAAUAAGAUAAUUGCUUGUUUUUUUAAUUGAAUUGUUAUAACACAUUAUACACAAUACAUUGUGAAUUAAAGCAUAACAUAAAGAAUUGCAUUGUUUGUGAGGUUUUAAAAUAUUCUAGUUUUAGAUUCAAUUUUCUAGUAUGUUUGGUUUAAUUUUACAUUAGAUUUCCUUUUCAGUAUGCACUAGUGAAUACUUGGCAGUCAAUUUAAUUUAAUUUAAAGAGAUAUUGCAUAUACAUAGAAGAAAAAAGAAAUAGAUGGUUGAAAAUGAUUAAACCAUAAGAUAAAAGAGCUUUUAUUCAAAAUGCAAAAAUCAACAAAAUAUUAAUUAUCGCUCAACUUAGCAUAAUUAAACAUUUAGGUGUGAAAAUCAAAUCACAAUUUGAGUAGCUAAACAUAUCGCUUGAAAAUGUGAUAAGUAAGAAACUUGCCCACAUUUGAGUAGCGACAGGUGGUGAUGCAUUUCCCAACGAGAGAAAACCAAGCUCUUUGCCAGUAUGGAUUUAUGUAGAGGACAACAAAAAUUGUCAACAACACAACUACAUAAGAAACCAAAAAGCUCACACAAAAAUCACCUAUCAAACCAUCUUCUCCUUUAUCUUCUGAUACAGUUAAUAUCGUUGAUGGCGAAUCGAUUUUGGAACAACUUUUAUGCAAUAUAGCUCCACAAAGAAAAGGAUUUCCCUCAUAACUGUUUUCAAUAAAGGUCCCAAAUUGAGCUUUUUCGGGAAUACUACCUGACAAGUUGUUGUAUGCCACGCUGAAAACCUCCAAAGAGUUCAACUCUACCAACUGAUUGGGGAUUUCACCACUCAAAUUGUUGUAAGAAAGGUCCAAACUCUCAAUUUGAUGUAGUUUUGCGAAUGACGAGGGUAUAACUCCUGUCAACUUAUUGUGCGACAAGUUUAAAGAAUGGAUUUCACUUAAGUUCCCUAAUUCUGGUGGGAUAUGACCAGUUAAGUUGUUGCAAGAUAAAUCAAUCCCGGUCAUAUAUGAAAGGAUGUUGCCCUCGUACAAAAAGAUCCCACUCUUUGUUGUGAACUCUAUUACUUCUUCUAAGUAGCUGUCAGGAUAGGAAGAAUCUAUUCCCAAAUUUAGUAUCAUACUGCGUGUUGUUUCAUCCUCUUCUAUAGGCCCAUAGAACUCAGUGUCUAGAAUCUUCUUCGUUUGCAUUAGAAGAGAUAAAUUUCCCAAGCAAGAAGGUAUAGGACCAGAAAACAUAUUUUGAGAAAGAUCUAUGAUGCUUAAAGAAUGCAACUUGCAUAACUCAACAGGAACUUUACCAUGAAAAUGAUUAUCUUUCAAGAGAAGAACACUCAAAGAAGAAAGCGUGUAAAUCCAUUUUGGAAUACUACCUGUCAAAUUGUUUCCUCUAAGAUCUAAACUCACUAUUGAAGAGCUAUUAUAAAAAGCAAGCGACAGUGGGCCUCUCAGUCUAUUCCCGUGGAUGUGGACAUGCUCUAUGUAUGGUGGAUUAAAACAUGACGGUAUAGAGCCAGAUAAAUUAUUCUGAGAAAGAUCCAAAAAUUCCAACCUAUUCAACUUGCAAAAUUCCAUUGGAAUAGAACCUUCAAAACCAUUAUUAGACAAAUCUAAUCUCCACAAAAAUGAUGCAUUCCCUAUCCAUCUUGGGAGCUUUCCAUGCAACUUGUUGUUACUGAGAUCAAUUUGGCUUAGUGAAUAUGGAAACUCAAAAGUAGAGGCAUUAACAUUUGUCAUCUCUCCUGAAAAAUUAUUUCCAUCCAAAUAUAAAUUCUCCACCCCAUUCGCGCUGAGAAUCACAGGAACUACAUUUCCACUGAAGUUGUUAUUUGAUAGUUUCAAAAUGAUCAGUGAGCCUUUCGUGAUCAACUCUUCUGGUACUUUUCCAUACAAUUGAUUGUUUGAUAGAUCUAAAAAUGAUAAGUACUUCAUGCCACUUAAACAAAGUGGGAUAUUACCUUCAAAAGCAUUCUUGGAUAAGAGUAACCGCCUCAAAUGUGGAAAAGUUGAACAUAUACCAGUCGGAAUUUGACCUUGUAAUUUGUUUUCAGAUAUGUCAAUUGAAGAUACAUUAGAAAUAAGAGCUGACGAACGUGAGAGAGGACCUGUAAAUGAAUUACCCUUCAAGAUGAGUUCUUCUAACUUUGUGUUGUUUUCUAGCAACCAAGUUGGUAAAGUUCCACUGAGAUUGUUAUGAGAAAGAUCCACAUAUCUCAAGUCAUAUUGGUAGUAAAGGAAGGUAGGAACUUUUCGACUGAGUUGUUGAGAUGUUAUGCACUUUGACAAACUGAUGACUUCCAAUUGGAACUUUGGGAUUGAGGUAUAAAAGGAAGGUUCCAAUACCAUUUUGUUUUCAUUACUGGAGAGGGCUUUGAGGUUUGAAAGGUUUGCAAAUGGUGCAAAUGACAGUGGAAUUUGAAAAUGGUUUCUUGAAAUAUCUAACACACGAAGAGAUGUCAAGUUACUAAAACAAUGAGGAAGCAUCCCCUCAAGUGCAUUCUCACUCACUUCCAACACUUCAAGGUUCCUUAGAUCACACCAUCC